UGUUAAUCACAGUUCUAAACACUCUUAUGC
rnacentral:piRNA from 1 species